rnacentral:rRNA from 1 species
AACGAACGCUGGCGGCAGGCUUAACACAUGCAAGUCGAGCGCGCCCUUCGGGUGAGCGGCGAACGGGUGAGUAACGCGUGGGAACGUGCCCCUUUCUUCGGAAUAGCCUCGGGAAACUGGGAGUAAUGCCGAAUACGCCGAGCCAUGGAGACAUGGUUUGGGAAAGAUUUAUCGGAGAGGGAUCGGCCCGCGUUGGAUUAGGUAGUUGGUGGGGUAAUGGCCUACCAAGCCGACGAUCCAUAGCUGGUUUGAGAGGAUGAUCAGCCACACUGGGACUGAGACACGG